GACGAACGCUGGCGGCGUGCUUAACACAUGCAAGUCGAACGGAAAGGCCCUGCUUUUGUUGGUUGCUCGAGUGGCGAACGGGGGAGUAACACGUGAGUAACCUGUCCUUGACUUUGGGAUAACUUCAGGAAACUGGGGCUAAUACCGGAUAGGAUCUCCUGCUGCAUGGUGGGGGUUGGAAAGUUUCGGCGGUUGGGGAUGGACUCGCGGCUUAUCAGCUUGUUUGUGGGGUAGGGGCUUACCAAGGCUUUGACGGGUAGCCGGCCUGGGAGGGGGACCGGCCACAUUGGGACUGAGAUACGGACCAGACUCCUACGUGAGGCAGCAGGGGAGAAUAUUGCAGAAUGGGCGGAAGCCUGAUACAGCAACGCCGCGUGCGGGAUGACGGCCUUCGGGUUGUAAACCGAUUUCGACUGUGCCGAAGCGUGAGUGACGGUAAUGGGUAAAGAAGCAACGGCUAACUACGUG
rnacentral:rRNA from 1 species